rnacentral:rRNA from 1 species
GACGAACGCUGGCGGCGUGCUUAACACAUGCAAGUCGAACGGGGCUCAUCGCUUCGGUGGUGGGUCUAGUGGCGAACGGGUGAGUAACACGUGGGCAACCUGCCCCCGGCUCUGGGAUAACUCCAAGAAAUUGGGGCUAAUACCGGAUAUGACUGCUGGCCGCAUGGUCUGGUGGUGGAAAGGGUUUCCGGCUGGGGAUGGGCCCGCGGCCUAUCAGCUUGUUGGUGGGGUAGUGGCCUACCAAGGCGACGACGGGGAGCCGGCCUGAGAGGGGGACCGGCCACACGGGGACUGGGAACCGGCCCAGACUCCUACGGGAGGCAGCAGUGGGGAAUAUUGCGCAAUGGGCGGAAGCCUGACGCAGCGACGCCGCGUGGGGGAUGACGGCCUUCGGGUUGUAAACCUCUUUCAGCAGGGACGAAGCCGCGAGGUGACGGUACCUGCAGAAGAAGCACCGGCCAACUACGUGCCAGCAGCCGCCGUAA